GGAAGCUCGCAAGGAAAGGCAAUCAAAUCUAUUUGUUACUAAAGUCUUCUGCAUGGGGAUUCUGGAUGUGUUGGUAGCUGAAAUGGUAACACAGCUGAAGAGAUGCGGCAUGAAGACCUGAGUUCAAAUCUUCAGAACACACGUUGAAAACUGGUGGGAGCAGGCUCAGAGCACCACAUAACAGAUGCUAACAAAACACUACCUUUCAGACACACUUUGGAAACUUUGUAACAGAAGUUCAAAGCAACAUCUCUGCGGGUUCCCCACUGCCUUCCAGGACUGGUUGAGUUCUGAAGAUCUCAAUGCGUUUUAGUCUACUGUCUCUCUACAACAAAAUAUAUGACAUUGGAUUAUUGCUUGAUUGACUAUCUGGGAACUGAACACAUGUUCUCAAGAAUGUGACACUUAGAAGAUGGUAGAAGUUCAAGAAAGAGUGCAUUAGAAAAAGGAAGAAUCUGUGAGCUCAGGGUUCCGUCUCCAUUUUACAUAUCAUUACCUUCAUGACUUCUAAGCCUCAUUACCUCCCAAGAAGUCCUACUUCAAAAUAUCACCGUGUAUGAAGUUGGGGGACAGGAACUUUUAGGGACACAGUGGAAACAUCAUCCACACUAACAUCUCCCGCAGCCCUGCAUAUGUGCACCCUCUACUAUGCCGCAUGUAUAAGCAUCCCCAGAGAAGGAAAUUGAAGAAAUCGUGGUCUCUGAGUGAUCCUUUCAGCCUGCUUUGUACUUGAGGGCUGGACACUUAACUCAAGAACAAGUCUCCAGAUUGAAGCACAUGUCUACAGAUUGCUCCCUCUUUUCCGCAAUCUAAUGUUUUAAGGUGUGGAUUAUCCAAAAAAAUGUGGGUCAUCUUCUCUUCAUUUUCACUGAAAGAGCGGAAUGUAAAUCUUUUGCUAGAAUCGGCACCCCAGGUUUUAAAUAGUUGCCUUUAGUCCUUAAAGAAGAAUGGAUAUAUAAAAAAAGGAAGUCUA